GAGCCGGCGCGGCGCUAGGGGGAGCGGCCGGGAGGGGCGGGGGCCGCCCUGGCCUCGCCUCCGCCGCGCGCCCUGACUGUACUGGGGCUCACUGGCCCCUCUGGGUUAGCGGGGCUGGUCGUGGUACCGAUGACCUUUCUUUCCGAGAGCAGAUGCCAUCACUUGGGGGACAUCUCCAGGCUGACUUAGCAGAGUGGAAAUUGUCGUCACGCGUGACUCUUUGGGAAUGAGUUGUAGAAAAAUCCGAAAUGAGGAAAACCAAGCUGAGGCUGAGGCUGGAGGCGGAGAAAAAGGGGACUCCCUGCUCCUGAAAGGCUGCCUAACUGGCUGCAAUUCAACAGAAGAGCUUGAAGAUGUAUAUUCCAUACCUGUUGAGAAGUUUACUUCAUAAGGAAGCUUGGGGUGAUGCACAGCCUAUGUCAAUGUCUAUGGAUAUGCUGUUUGCUUAUGGCUGAACAAUGCUCACGUCCCUCCCCCCCAAAAAUCAAAGAAAUAUGUUAUAUUGGCUUUUUUCCUCUGUUGUUUUAUACAAUUUGUUUUUAUUAUUGUACAUCUCAAAAACAAUA